rnacentral:rRNA from 1 species
UGCAUAUCAAAUAAGCGGAGGAAAAGAAACCAACAGGGAUUGCCUUAGUAGCGGCGAGUGAAGCGGCAAAAGCUCAAAUUUGAAAUCUGGCUCUUUCAGAGUCCGAGUUGUAAUUUGAAGAAGGUAUCUUUGGGUCUGGCUCUUGUCUAUGUUUCUUGGAACAGAACGUCACAGAGGGUGAGAAUCCCGUGCGAUGAGAUGAUCCAGGCCUAUGUAAAGUUCCUUCGAAGAGUCGAGUUGUUUGGGAAUGCAGCUCUAAGUGGGUGGUAAAUUCCAUCUAAAGCUAAAUAUUGGCGAGAGACCGAUAGCGAACAAGUACAGUGAUGGAAAGAUGAAAAGAACUUUGAAAAGAGAGUGAAAAAGUACGUGAAAUUGUUGAAAGGGAAGGGCUUGAGAUCAGACUUGGUAUUUUGUAUGUUACUUCUUCGGGGGUGGCCUCUACAGUUUAUCGGGCCAGCAUCAGUUUGGGCGGUAGGAGAAUUGCGUUGGAAUGUGGCACGGCUUCGGUUGUGUGUUAUAGCCUUCGUCGAUACUGCCAGCCUAGACUGAGGACUGCGGUUUAUACCUAGGAUGUUGGCAUAAUGAUCUUAAGUCGCCCGUCUUGAAACACGGACCA